rnacentral:rRNA from 1 species
UGGGGAAUAUUGGACAAUGGGCGAAAGCCUGAUCCAGCCAUGCCGCGUGUGUGAAGAAGGUCUUCGGAUUGUAAAGCACUUUAAGUUGGGAGGAAGGGCAUUAACCUAAUACGUUAGUGUUUUGACGUUACCGAAAGAAUAAGCACCGGCUAACUCUGUGCCAGCAGCCGCGGUAAUACAGAGGGUGCAAGCGUUAAUCGGAAUUACUGGGCGUAAAGCGCGCGUAGGUGGUUUGUUAAGUUGGAUGUGAAAUCCCCGGGCUCAACCUGGGAACUGCAUUCAAAACUGACUGACUAGAGUAUGGUAGAGGGUGGUGGAAUUUCCUGUGUAGCGGUGAAAUGCGUAGAUAUAGGAAGGAACACCAGUGGCGAAGGCGACCACCUGGACUAAUACUGACACUGAGGUGCGAAAGCGUGGGGAGCAAACA